rnacentral:rRNA from 1 species
GACGAACGCUGGCGGCGCGCUUAACACAUGCAAGUCGAGCGAGAACCAGGACUUCGGUCCUGGGGACAGCGGCGAACGGGUGAGUAACACGUGGAUAACCUGCCCUCGGCACCGGGAUAGCCCGGGGAAACCCGGAUUACUACCGGAUGGCCCUUUCGGCUUUCGAGCCGGGCGGAAAAGGUAGCUUCGGCCUCCGGCCGAGGAUGGGUCCGCGGCGGAUUAGCUUGUUGGUGGGGUAACGGCCUACCAAGGCUCCGAUCCGUAGCUGGUCUGAGAGGACGAUCAGCCACACUGGGACUGAGACACGGCCCAGACUCCUACGGGAGGCAGCAGUGGGGAAUCUUGCGCAAUGGGCGAAAGCCUGACGCAGCGACGCCGCGUGAGGGAGGAAGGCCUUCGGGUUGUAAACCUCUUUCAGGAGGAACGAAGCUACUCGGGUGAAUAGCCCAGAGGGUGACGGUACUCCCAGAAGAAGCCCCGGCUAACUACGUGCCAGCCGCCGCCGUAAUAC